rnacentral:rRNA from 1 species
GGUUGUAGCAAUACAACUGGCGCACGGCGCACGGGUGCGUAACACGUGGGUAACCUGCCCUUUGGUGGGGAAUAACUCCGCGAAAGCGGAGCUAAUUCCGCAUAAGAUCCGCAAGGAUGAAAGCCGCAAGGCGCCGAAGGAGGGGCCCGCGCCCGAUUAGCUAGUUGGUAGGGUAACGGCCUACCAAGGCUUUGAUCGGUAGCUGGUCUGAGAGGAUGAUCAGCCACACUGGAACUGAGACACGGUCCAGACUCCUACGGGAGGCAGCAGUGGGGAAUCUUGCACAAUGGGCGAAAGCCUGAUGCAGCGACGCCGCGUGGGGGAUGAAGCAUUUCGGUGUGUAAACCCCUUUCGAUCCGGACGAAACCCCGCAAGGGAUUGACGGUACGGAUAUAAGAAGCCCCGGCUAACUACGUGCCAGCAGCCGCGGUAAGACGUAGGGGGCCAGCGUUGUUCGGAAUUACUGGGUGUAAAGGGUUCGUAGGCGGUGCGGCAAGUUGGGAGUGAAAUCUCUGGGCUUAACCCAGAGGCUGCUUCCAAAACUGCUGUGCUUGAGUGUGGGAGAGGCGCGUGGAAUUGCAGGUGUAGCGGUGAAAUGCGUAGAUAUCUGCAGGAACACCCGUGGCGAAAGCGGCGCGCUGGACCACUACUGACGCUGAGGAACGAAAGCUAGGGGAGCAAACAGGAUUAGAUACCCUGGUAGUCCUAGCCCUAAACGAUCAGGACUUGGGGUGCCACCCGUUCGGGUGUCGUCCCGGAGCUAACGCGUUAAGUCCUGCACCUGGGGAGUACGGUCGCAAGACUGAAACUC